GAUGAAGAACGUAGUGAAAUGCGAUAAGUAAUGUGAAUUGCAGAAUUCAGUGAAUCAUCGAAUCUUUGAACGCACAUUGCGCUCCCUGGUAUUCCAGGGAGCAUGCCUGUUCGAGCGUCAUUACAACCCUCAAGCUCUGCUUGGUGUUGGGCCCCGCCGCCCCGGCGGGCCCUAAAGUCAGUGGCGGUGCCGUCCGGCUCCGAGCGUAGUAAUUUUUCUCGCUUUGGAGGCCCGGGCGCGUGCUCGCCAUCAACCCCCAAUUUUUUUCAGGUUGACCUCGGAUCAGGUAGGGAUACCCGCUGAACUUAAGCAUAUCAAUAAGCGGAGGA
rnacentral:misc_RNA from 1 species